CAGCAGCCGCGGUAAUACGUAGGGUGCAAGCGUUAUCCGGAAUUACUGGGCGUAAAGCGUGCGCAGGCGGUUAUAUAAGACAGAUGUGAAAUCCCCGGGCUCAACCUGGGAACUGCAUUUGUGACUGUAUAGCUAGAGUACGGCAGAGGGGGAUGGAAUUCCGCGUGUAGCAGUGAAAUGCGUAGAUAUGCGGAGGAACACCGAUGGCGAAGGCAAUCCCCUGGGCCUGUACUGACGCUCAUGCACGAAAGCGUGGGGAGCAAACAGGAUUAGAUACCCCCGUAGUCCCUGUCUCUUAUAC
rnacentral:rRNA from 1 species